rnacentral:rRNA from 1 species
GAUGAACGCUGGCGGCGUGCUUAACACAUGCAAGUCGAACGGAAAGGCCCAAGCUUGCUUUGGUUCUCGAGUGGCGAACGGGUGUGUAACACGUGGGUGUUCUGCCCUGCACUUCGUGAUAAGCCUGGGAAACUGGGUCUAAUACCGGAGAGGACCACUUCGUAGUUGGUGUGGUGGAAAGUUUUUUCGGUGUGGGAUGAGCUCGCGGCCUAUCCGCGUGUUGGUGGGGUAAUGGUCUACCAAGGCGUCGACGGGUAGCCCGCCUGAGAGGGUGUACGGCCACAUUGCGACCGAGAGACGGCAGAGAGUACUACGGGACGCAGCGGUAGGGACUAUUGCACAAUGGGCGGAAGCCUGAUGAAGCGCCGCGGAGUGGAAAAUGACGGACUUCGGGAUGUAAACUCCUUUCGCCAAAGCCGACUUUAGGACGGUAUUUAGCGAAGAAGCCCCGGCUAACCACGUG